rnacentral:rRNA from 1 species
CUGGGAAACUGCCUGAUGGAGGGGGAUAACUACUGGAAACGGUAGCUAAUACCGCAUAACGUCGCAAGACCAAAGAGGGGGACCUUCGGGCCUCUUGCCAUCAGAUGUGCCCAGAUGGGAUUAGCUAGUAGGUGGGGUAAUGGCUCACCUAGGCGACGAUCCCUAGCUGGUCUGAGAGGAUGACCAGCCACACUGGAACUGAGACACGGUCCAGACUCCUACGGGAGGCAGCAGUGGGGAAUAUUGCACAAUGGGCGCAAGCCUGAUGCAGCCAUGCCGCGUGUGUGAAGAAGGCCUUCGGGUUGUAAAGCACUUUCAGCGAGGAGGAAGGUGGUGAGCUUAAUACGCUCAUCAAUUGACGUUACUCGCAGAAGAAGCACCGGCUAACUCCGUGCCAGCAGCCGCGGUAAUACGGAGGGUGCAAGCGUUAAUCGGAAUUACUGGGCGUAAAGCGCACGCAGGCGGUUUGUUAAGUCAGAUGUGAAAUCCCCGGGCUCAACCUGGGAACUGCUUUUGAAACUGGCAAGCUAGAGUCUCGUAGAGGGGGGUAGAGUUCCAGGUGUAGCGGUGAAAUGCGUAGAGAUCUGGAGGAAUACCGGUGGCGAAGGCGGCCCCC